rnacentral:rRNA from 1 species
UACAGAGGUCUCAAGCGUUGUUCGGAUUCAUUGGGCGUAAAGGGUGCGUAGGUGGCGCCGUAAGUCGGGUGUGAAAUUUCGAGGCUUAACCUCGAAACUGCAUUCGAUACUGCGGUGCUCGAGGACUGGAGAGGAGACUGGAAUUCAUGGUGUAGCAGUGAAAUGCGUAGAGAUCAUGAGGAAGACCAGUGGCGAAGGCGGGUCUCUGGACAGUUCCUGACACUGAGGCACGAAGGCCAGGGGAGCAAACGGG